UGGGUUUUUCACGCUCAACAGUUUCCCGUACGUAUCAAGAAUGGUCCAGCACCCAACGGACAUCCAGCCAACUUGAAAACUGUGGGAAGGAUUGGAGUCAACACGGGCCAGCAUCCCUGUGGAAGGCUUUCGACACCUUGUAGAGUCCAUACCCCGACAAAUUGAGGCUGUGCCGAGGACAAAAGGGGGUGCAACUCAGUAUUAGAAAGGUGAUCCUAAUGUUUCGUAAACUCAGUGUAUUGCUCUGGUGAAGAUGCAGCAGUAUGCAAGGUGAGUGAAAACCACUGCAGUAUUGUUUGAAUGGGAUGAUAACUAACCAUUUGGUUCUUUGGUGCACAUGAUGAUGAUAGGCUAUAUGUGUAGUAAAUACUGGGAGAAGACCAGCUAAAUGCACAGGAUGAUGAUAGGCUAUAUGUGUAGUAAAUACUGGGAGAAGACCAGCUAAAUGCACAGGAUGAUGAUAGGUAGUAAAUACUGGGAGAAGACCAGCUAAAUGCACAUGAUGAUGAUAGGUAGUAAAUACUGGGAGAAGACCAGCUAAAUGCCUAAUUGUACUCUGUGCUGAUGAAACUGUGCAAGACCGACAAUUCUCUCAGAAAUACAUAACAUUGUACUGUGUCA